CCUUGUACACACCGCCCGUCACACCAUGGGAGUGGGUUGCAAAAGAAGUAGGUAGCUUAACCUUCGGGAGGGCGCUUACCACUUUGUGAUUCAUGACUGGGGUGAAGUCGUAACAAGGUACCC
rnacentral:rRNA from 1 species